AUUGAACGCUGGCGGCAUGCCUAACACAUGCAAGUCGAGCGAGCGGCGGACGGGUGCGUAAUGUAUGGGGACUGCCCGAUAGAGGGGGAUAACUACUGGAAACGGUAGCUAAUACCGCAUACUAUCGGAUAACCCAUAGUGGAUUAGCUAGUAGGUGAGGUAAUGGCUCACCUAGGCGACGAACCCUAGCGGGUCUGAGAGGAUGAUCAGCCACACUGGGACUGAGACACGGCCCAGAAUCCUACGGAGGCAGCAGUGGGGAAUAUUGCACAAUGGGGGAAAGCCUGAUGCAGCAAUGCCGCGGGUAUGAAGAAGGUCCUAGGGUUGUAAAGGACUGUCAGUCGGGAGGCGUUACCGACAGAAGAAGCACCGGCUAACUACGUGCCAGCAGCCGCGGUAAUUC
rnacentral:rRNA from 1 species